rnacentral:rRNA from 1 species
AUGGCCACACAACCACAACUUUUCCAAAGUAAAACUGUAUACACAAGAUUAUUCACAAAAAAACAGGGGAUAACAACAGCAAGCUCACAAUUUCUUUUUCCUUUUUUGAAAUGGGGAUUUAUAUUUAAAAGAUAUAUUUUUACAAUAAAUGAAAAAACGCUUUAUAUAUUAAGAAACUAUAUAUAUAUAUAUGCAUACAAUCAGUCGAAAGUUGGCUCACCACACAGAAUGGGACUGCAUCCCAUAACACACCGAGACUUGACACACAACCACCUAAUUUGUCCCAGACAUGGACGUUUGCAUUAG